rnacentral:lncRNA from 1 species
CUAGUUUGACAUUUGGAUUUGGAAAUAGAGAAAAAAAGAAAAGAGAGAAGAAAUGAAGGUGUUUGAACAUGAAAUAGUAUUCUCUUUCUAUAUGCACUUGCAUAGGCAUGUCCAGUUGUACUUGAAGGACUAAAAUUUCAAUCAAAAGAAAAUUAUUACUAUGUUACAUAUAGGUUUUGAUCACAUUUUGACAUCCAAAAUAUUAGAACCUUAUCAAGGACUAUGAAGUAUCAAUUUUAGAUAUCUCAAGGAGU